AGCACAUAAGAAUCCCUCCAGUUGGUGAAGUUCUUACCCCGUUCUAUAAGACUACUGUUAAGAAACUUCAGCAUUAUGAUCUUCCUUUAGUCGGCCAUGUGAACCACAAUUUCUCUGUGCAUGCCAUACACAUGGGAGAAGAUGUCUUAUCUGUUUUUGAGCAUGCUAUAAAAGUUCUAUCCUGUAAAGAUGAUCUCGUGGAUUCCAG